rnacentral:rRNA from 1 species
GAUGAACGCUAGCGGCAGGCCUAAUACAUGCAAGUCGGACGGGAUUGGAGAGCUUGCUUUCCAUGAGAGUGGCGCACGGGUGCGUAGCACGUAUGCAACCUACCUUUAUCAGGGGGAUAGCCUCUCGAAAGAGAGAUUAACACCGCAUAAAAUUGGAUUAUGGCAUCAUAAUCUGAUCAAAUAUUUAUAGGAUAAAGAUGGGCAUGCGGAACAUUAGCUAGUUGGUAAGGUAACGGCUUACCAAGGCGACGAUGUUCAGGGGAUCUGAGAGGAUGACCCCCCACACUGGUACUGAGACACGGACCAGACUCCUACGGGAGGCAGCAGUAAGGAAUAUUGGUCAAUGGGCGGAAGCCUGAACCAGCCAUGCCGCGUGCAGGAAGACGGCCCUACGGGUCGUAAACUGCUUUUGUACGGGAAUAAACCUUGAUACGUGUAUCAAGCUGAAUGUACCGUAAGAAUAAGGAUCGGCUAACUCCGUGCCAGCAGCCGCCGUAACAC